UUAAAAUAUUGUAAUGGUAAAAAUUUUAUUAAUUUUAAUAUGAAAUUUGUUUCAGUGAUGAAUAAGAAAUUAAUUAAAGAUUUGGUGCUAAGGGGGGGGUUUGAACCCCUAAAACCCCCCCCUGGCUACGCCCCUGCCGCUAUAUAACAGCACGGUACAGAGGUGUGUAUGCAGAGCCCACGCCUGUGUACUGUUUGCAAACUGUUGGUAGUUGUCAUUGCUGUGCGUCAGAAGAAACUUUUUUUUGUGUGUUUUACUCGUUUCGGCUGCUGUUUCGAAUAACUUUUGAGAUUAACUGAGUGGAAAUAGGGACGAUGCCUAAAUUUAAGAAGAAGUCCGCUGGAGAAGGGCGAGGAGAAUGGUCUGAAGAUGCGAUGAAAUCAGCUGUGCAAGAUGUUUUGGAAAACAAAAUAGCGGUUCGGGCAGCAGCAGAACGUCAUAAUGUUCCUAGAACCACUUUACGAAGAAAAAUUUUGGCUGUAAGAACAAAAUCGCAAGUGGAAAUUAAACCUCAGCUUGGAAGCUUCAAAGUAAUUUUUGAUGAGAUGUAUGAAAACGAGCUUGUAAGGCAUAUGAAAGAUUUGGAUGCAUGACUUAUGCCAUUAUCGAGACAUGAAUUCCUAAAGCUUGCAUACGAACUAGCAGAAAGUUUGAAGUUGCCUCAUAGAUUCAACAGGGAAAGUAAAUUCGGGGAAAUAUUUUUAUAUGGAUUUCAUGAAACGACAACCCGAGCUAAGUUAUCGGAAACUACAAUCAACUAGCUUAAUGCGAUCAGUAGGUUUUAACAAACCCCAAGUUGAAAGAUUUUUCGAUCAACUUACGAAGCUUCAAGAAGACUAUUCUUUUCGUCCAUCUAAAAUGUAUAACGCAGAUGAAACAGGGGUUACAUGCGUUCACGAAAAUUAGAUGGCGAUUUCAGUUAAAGGAAAGUGCCAAGUUGGGAAAAUGACUUUGGGGGAGAAAGGUCGCACAGUAACACUCAUGUUUGUAUGAGUGCAACAGGUCAUUUCAUACUACCUCUUUUUAUAUUCCCCCGGAAGAUAAUAAAUGAUCGACUAAUGAUUGGUGCUCCUACAGAAAGUAGCCAUUUCCCAACCCCCACCUGAUGGAUGAAUGGUCCAGCAUUUUUGUCAUGGCUGAAACAUUUUGUUUCAUUUACAAAGCCUACUUUAAAUGAUCCAGUUUUACUUAUCCUGGAUGGGCACAGCAGCCACAAGGAACAAGAUGUCAUCAUGUAUGCACGUGAAAACCAUGUUCAUAUGCUAAGUAUCCCAGAGUGCCUACCAAGUCGCUUGCAGUUUGUGGAUGAGGGCCAAUCCUGGACUCAAGAUAAACGAAUAUGACAUCGCAAAAUUGGUCGCAGAUGCAUACAGGCAAGCCAGCCGUUUGGAAAUAGCAGAAAAUGGCUUCAGAUGCACAGUAAUAUAUCCCUGGAAUUCACAAAUAUUCACUGAUUUGGACUUCAUAGGCAGUGAGUUAACCAACAUAUCACUCAGCCACUCGAAAUCAAUCACACCUGAAACUUCAGCUGCAGUUGCUGUCCAAACCUCUACCAUGACAUCUCCUCAGCCAUCGAGGACGACUGACGUAGGCCUAUUAGCUGUUCUAUCAACUACUGGAACUUCUGCAACUGUUGUAGUUCAAACAUCUGCAGUGUCUUUUCCUGAUCCAUCAAGGGUGCCUGGCGACCCAGCUGCAGUACCAUCGCUUUCUGGAACUUCUGCUGUAGCUGCUGUUCCGAUGUCUGCUGUGCUUUCUCCUGAUACAUCGAGGGUGCCUGAAGUAUCAGCUGUUCUACUAAUUGUUGAGACUUCUUUGAAACUACACACACAUUCACAUCUUAGUGUUAGCUGUUCCGAGUUUGUGAAAAACCUCCAAAAAUUGUCUCCUCUACCAUCGUGUAGUGAUAAAAGACUGACAAGUCGUAAGAGGAAGGCAGAAAGAAGUGAGAUUAUGACCUCAACUCCAAUAAAAGAUGCACUUAUAGAAAAGAAAAACACAGAAAUCAGAAAAGAAGAAGCUCAGAAAAAAAACCCAACUAAAAUUGGAAAAAUAACAGAGAGAUCAGCCAGGACAUUCAAAAGGAGCAAAAACUAAAUCAAAUGUGUUAAUGAUGGUAAAGACGAAAAGUAAACAGCAUAACUCUCAUUUUGAGGGUUCAUCGGACUUAGCGAAUGGUGAAAAUGUUGACUGUAUUGUUUGUGGUGAAUAUUUAGUUGAAAAUUGGAUUCAGUGUCGUACAUGUGAAGGGUGGGCACAUGAACUUUGUGCAGAUAUUGAUAAUACUUUGUAUUACUACUGCGACUAUUGUAAACGUAACACUUAAUUGCUUAAGUAAUGGCUUCAUUUGUAAACAAUGUACAGUGUUUUAGCACUUCUGUACCUUAAAAUGUGUUUUAUUCCAUUAAUAUGGUAUGGCUUUAUGUUAUGGGCCAUACUACCCUACAUCAACCGCUUAAUGGUGAAUGCAUACAUUCAUGAAAUGAUACAAAAUAUGUAAUGUUUUAUGAAUUUGAGUUUAUGUUUCAUCAUAGUUGUAAAGUAAAUGUGUCACGUAUUCUUGUUACAGAGUGUUGCACAAUUAUUUCUGUAAUUUAUUAUGUUAUUGUCAUUUUUACUUAAGUGGGCCAUACUAGCCGCCUCUCCCCUACUAACUGCUUAAUUUACUUAUAUAUCAUAAAACGGAUAAAACAGGCUGACUGAAUGGAAGUUCCAAAUUUUAAUCUCAUUGCAUGUACAAGCUACAGUAAAUUAGUUUUCGAUUAAUACAUUCCAUUUUUUUUCCCCAAAUUAGUCUUACAAUUUUAUUUCCUGGGAUAUAAUUUUGUAGUUUUUAGAAAUUUUUAUAGUUACCAAUGUAUUUGUGUGUUGUCAGAUAAUUUAAUUUUGUUAAUUUUUACUGAAAAACAAAAAUAAAUCCUUAUUCUUGAAGAAAUUAGACAUGAUUAUGUCUUGAAGUAACUAGCAGCAUAUAUAAAACCAUCGCAAAUGAAGACUGAUUCUUCAUAAAACGUAAUUCUGCAGAUCUAUAUCCAAACAGCAUUAAAAUAUACUUAAAAAAAAAAAAAA